rnacentral:rRNA from 1 species
UACGUAGGUGGCAAGCGUUGUCCGGAUUUACUGGGCGUAAAGGGCGUGCAGGCGGUCUGUUAAGUCUAGGGUGAAAGCCUCCCGGCUCAACUGGGAGAGGUCCUUGGAUACUGGCGGACUUGAGGGAUGCAGAGGAAAGUGGAAUUCCCGGUGUAGUGGUGAUAUGCGUAGAUAUCGGGAGGAACACCAGUGGCGAAGGCGGCGUUUCUGGGCAUUUCCUGACGCUGAGACGCGAAAGCGUGGGGAGCGAACCGG